AAAGAAGACGCCGACAUGAAGCCCAAAACAACUAUUGGUCACUGCACAGGACUAGUAAACGUAUUAUACUCUUGUGCGUGUUCCAAUAGUUAUUGUGGGCGCUUCAUAUUCUUCGAGGCG
rnacentral:pre_miRNA from 1 species